UUCAAUGUUAGAGCAGAGAUGAGUAGAGUUUUGUUUUCUAAUUUAGUGCAAUUACUUGGCAAAGAUGCGGAUAUGCUUUUUCUUCCUUUUUAUAACAAUUUUUUUGAAAGUUCCUUUCUAGCAUUCAUCUUUUUUUAAAGAAAAAAAAAAAAAAAUUCUAGCAUGCAUCCCAUGAAUUGUGUUGUUUCUGACUAGGAAUAGUCAUACCUUCACCCAACAAUAUUCUAUAUCUAGUUUGUCUCCACCAAAGAUACUUGCUAGAUGACAACCAAACAAUUUGUUGCCAGCAAAAAUCAUAUCUGCAACUAAAAUUAGUUUCCCAAAAGUUCUGACUAGAAGUAUCUUAGAGUCGAGCCAAUUCUAUUAUAGCUCAGUUUGUAGCAAUUGUGGAUUCUUGCACUCCCAUUUCAUGCUAUUUCCUUUAUUUAUGAUGAUGUUGGACUUUUCGGUGGUUCUCUUGAAAUGAACAUGCUUCCAUAGUUAGUAAAUUUUGAUUUUUAGAUCUGCAAUGGCUAUUUUUUUGUGGUUGCUCAAUUUUGCAUUGGCUAUAGACUUGUGACAGCUUGGAAUAUUUUGUACUUGUCUCUCUUUGCCAUAAUUCCAUUUAUUACCCACUAAAAGACUUAGUUUGAUUACCAAUGUGGUCACAAAUGGUAUGUGUAAUGUAUUUACUGAUAUGGUUGUCGAAGGUAGCCUUAGCCAUACAUUUUCCCUACAUGAAUGACUUAUUUUUAGUUUCAUUAAUUCUUCCUAUCAUCCACGAUUGCAAUUAGCAAAUGGUUUGCCGAUAUCGAUGUCAAUGUCGGCUCUGGUUAUUGAGCUGUAUAGUUACAUCUCACCAUCAUGGUUUGUGUACAUUAUUCUUGUGGAAUUUUUAUUAGUUCCUGCUUUUAUGCAAUCCUAUUUAACAUAUCGCAAUAGAGCCACUAUCAUGCCAAAUCAAUUUCAAAUCAGUAAUUUGCAGGUGGUAGCUAAGCUUUGAAGUUAUGCUUAGUUCUUUUUGAGAUAAGUGAGCAUUUCUCAUUAUUCUCUUAAGAAGAUCAUUUCUCAUCAUUUUAUUGGCAGAAUGGAUUAGCUAGAAUCAAACAGUAAAAUCAAAUUCAUUGAAAUGAGG
rnacentral:lncRNA from 1 species